rnacentral:rRNA from 1 species
UACGGGGGGGGCAAGCGUUGUUCGGAAUUACUGGGCGUAAAGGGCGCGUAGGCGGUUUGCUAAGUUGAAUGUGAAAACUCUGGGCUUAACCCAGAGCCUGCAUUCAAUACUGGCAGGCUGGAGUUCUGGAGGGGAUAGCGGAAUUCCUGGUGUAGCGGUGAGAUGCGUAGAUAUCAGGAGGAACACCCGUGGCGAAAGCGGCUCUCUGGAACGGUACUGACGCUGAGACGCGAAAGCGUGGGGAGCGAACAGG